GGUUUAGCUCAGUUGGUAGAGCAUGAGACUCUUAAUCUCAGGGUUGUGGGUUCAAGUCCUGCAUUAGGUU